GAUUUUGUUGAGAUUUAGUUUUGUUCAUUGAUCAUGUAAGAUAAAAACAAAGCCUCUGAUGAUCUCAUUUUCUACGCUUGGACUGCAGACUUAUUCUGCAUUAUGAAUGAAAUGGCAUGCAUCAAACUGAUGUUUUGAAUGGCGUGUUUUCUCGUCCAGUCCACAGGUUAUACUGGCAAUAGGCAUCAUGGUUCUUUACAACGAUAUUUCUUCUGGCAAACCUCAGUGUCAAGAGUAAACAAUCUACUGACCCUCUCUUCUAUGUGUUUGCUGUGUUUUCCUUCACCUCUGUUGUCAGCAUCACCAAUGCACUGCAGCACACCGGACUGAUCAAGGGCUUUAUGGACUUUUAUAUAAGCAAGGUUAGAUCUCUUUCUCUCUCUCUCACACACACACACACACACACACACACACACACAAACAAACACUGAAGUGAAUAUCUGUUACUGUCUCUCUCAAUUCAAUUCAAUAUGUGCUUUAUUGGCAUGACAAUUGUUACAAUGUAUUGCCAAAGCAUAGUGUUUACAUUAAUUCUAGAACAGAUAUAGGGUAUAUGCAAUAAAACAUGCAUGUAUCUCUCUCUCUCUCUCUCUCUCUCUCUCUCUCUACACACACACACACACACACACACACACACACACUGUUAAUUAUUUACACAUCAUGCAAACAUUUUAUAUCUAAAUAUUAAAUAUAUUAUAUGUAUUAAAUAUAUUUAUAUUUACUAUGUUAAAUAUUUUGUACUUUUAAUUUAUGCUUAU
rnacentral:lncRNA from 1 species